GGGGCUUUGGCGCAGUUGGUAGCGCGCUUCCGUGGCACGGAAGAGGUCAGGGGUUCGAAUCCCCUAAGCUCCACCA
rnacentral:tRNA from 1 species